UAAAAUGCCAAAGGAACAGCUGGAGACAGAAGGAGCAGGAACUGGAGGCUCCUCCCAGGGCUGUGUCAGUGCUUCAGUCUGAUUCUCCACGACUUCCUCAGGCUGGGAUGAGGACAGAGCACUUACUAGACUUUGCCUUUUUUGUGGAUGAUCUUCUGCCCACAGCGGAAGGCCUGGAUCUGGACUCAGACAUCCAAGACUCCAUCUCUGUUGUGCUGCUUGGAGCUGCAUCCCUGGUGUGAAAU